rnacentral:rRNA from 1 species
AGGGUUAGUCGGGACCUAAGCCGAGGCCGAUAGGCGUAGGCGAUGGACAACAGGUAGAGAUUCCUGUACCAGUGCUAAUUGUUUAACCGAUGGGGUGACACAGAAGGAUAGGGAAUCGCACGAAUGGAAAUGUGCGUCCAAGCAGUGAGUGUGAGAAGUAGGCAAAUCCGCUUCUCGCGAAGCAUGAGCUGUGAUGGGGAAGGAAAUUAAGUACGGAAGUUCCUGAUUUCACGCUGUCAAGAAAAGCCUCUAGGAAGAGUAGUACUGCCCGUACCGCAAACCGACACAGGUAGAUGAGGAGAGAAUCCUAAGGUGAGCGAGAGAACUCUCGUUAAGGAACUCGGCAAAAUGACCCCGUAACUUCGGGAGAAGGGGUGCUCUAUUAGGGUGCAAGCCCGAGAGAGCCGCAGUGAAUAGGCCCAGGCGACUGUUUAGCAAAAACACAGGUCUCUGCAAAACCGUAAGGUGACGUAUAGGGGCUGACGCCUGCCCGGUGCUGGAAGGUUAAGAGGAGUGCUUAGCUUCGGCGAAGGUACGAAUUGAAGCCCCAGUAAACGGCGGCCGUAACUAUAACGGUCCUAAGGUAGCGAAAUUCCUUGUCGGGUAAGUUCCGACCCGCACGAAAGGCGCAACGAUCUGGGCACUGUCUCAACGAGAGACUCGGUGAAAUUAUAGUACCUGUGAAGAUGCAGGUUACCCGCGACAGGACGGAAAGACCCCGUGGAGCUUUACUGCAACCUGAUAUGGAAUGUUUGUACCGCUUGUACAGGAUAGGUAGGAGCCGAAGAGACGUGUGCGCUAGCAUACGAGGAGGCAAUGGUGGGAUACU